rnacentral:tRNA from 1 species
GGGGAAUUAGCUCAGUUGGCUAGAGCGCCUGAUUUGCAUUCAGGAGGUCAUCGGUUCGACUCCGAUAUUCUCCA